rnacentral:tmRNA from 1 species
GGGGACGUUCGUGGGAUUCGACGGAAUCGUGACAACCCCGGGCUGCAUGCCGUGGACGUGCCGGAGCCCCACGUUAAAAGUUUCGGCAACACCAUAAUCGGCAACGAUUACGCUCUCGCUGCCUAAAACUUAGGCAGCCGAAGCCCAUGGGCGCGCCCGCCACCUGUGGAGUCUUCGUCAUCCAGCGGGCUGGCCCCGAAGGCCCGGCUGAACCGGAGGGGCGAGAUCCUUCAGCCUGGACGCGACGCAGCGUGACCGCCCGCGUCGGCGCGUCAAGAUCAAAUGACGGCCUAUGCAUGUAGACGCCCAGGGACGUGCUUUUUCGGACGAGGGUUCAACUCCCUCCGUCUCCAUGA